CCCAGCCAUCACUCCGGCUGGUGCCUGGGAGAAUUCACUGGAGGUCCGACCGAACGGCCCCGGGAUCUAGAGUCCGGGGUCCAGAUUCCAGGGUCCAGAGUCCAGGGUCCAGGGUCAAGAGUCCAGGGUCAAGAGUCCAGGGUCAAGGGUUCAGGGUCAAGAGUCCAUGUCCAGAGUCCAGGUCCAGAGCCAAAAUUUCAGCAAUAUCUCGAUUAAUUCAUAUUGUUUUUGUGGCCAUAUCAUUCCAUGGCUGAUACAGUGUAUACUAUGAAAAUAGGCUCGUGGUGCAGCCUGUAACUUGGACGGUUGCCUUGCCAACACAAACUGACUCACUUCUUGGAAUAUUUCAAUUUGAAACAAUAAAUCAGGAAAGGGAGCAGCAGCCAGCCAAUCUUCCCAGGGUCUGAAACUCAAGCCGUCACAUUGUGUGCGUGUUUGUGGCUGGUAUGUGUGUGGCUGGUGUGCGUGUCGUGUGUGUUUGUGUGUGUGUGUGUAGCUGGUGUGUUGUGUGUGUCUGCGUGCAUGCUUGGAUGCGCAUGUGUGUAUUGAGUUUAGGGGGCUCAGAGCGAGGUGUCUCUCUGGAUCAUAUCUGUGCCACUUAAUCAUGUCUCCCAGCAGCUGAACAAAUGGAGAUAGAUGUUGUUUCCACUUCUGCUCUUAUCCCUGUGAGUGUCUUACACACAGGCAUGACCAAGCCCAACACAUGCGUGUCACAAGAUAAUCGAGCUGCUGCACAUAUAAACUACUUCACAAAACAUUUGUUUUAAAGGAUAGAGUGGAAGUGUGAGCUACCUCAAACAGAGGACAGGAUAGCAAUAGGAGAGACUGAGGCAGCACGGCGUACACAAGGCUUUUGUGACUUGUGUUCUGACAAGCCCACCCCAGCUAGCACUAACUACAUGGCUAACAAGCCCUCCCUGGCUAGCACAAGCUACGUGGCUAACAAGCUCUCCCCGGCUACCACAAACUACGUUUUUAACAAGCCCUCCCUGGCUAGCACAAACUACGUUUUUAACAAGCCCUCCCCAGCUAGCACAAACCACGUGGCUAACAAGCCCUCCCCGACUAGCACAAUAUACGUGGCUAACAAGCCCUCCCCGGCUAGCACAAACUACGUUUUUAACAAACCCUCCCUGGCUAGCACAAUAUACGUGGCUAACAAGCCCUCCCCAGCUAGCACAAACUGCGUUUUUAACAAACCCUCCCUGGCUAGCACAAUAUACGUGGCUAACAAGCCCUCCCCGGCUACCACAAACUACGUGGCUAACAAGCCCUCCCCGGCUAGCACAAACUACGUGGCUAACAUGCCCUCCCCGGCUAGCACAAACUACGUGGCUAACAAGCCCUUCCCGGCUACCACAAACUACGUGGCUAACAAGCCCUCCCCGGCUACCACAAACUACGUGGCUAACAAGCCCUCCCCAGCUAGCACAAACUACAAGGCUAACAAGCAAUGCAGUGCAUACUCACAGCAUACUUUCACAAUUUGACCAGUCCAGUUAGAUUCAAACUUGGGUACACAUUUAACCACUAAUUUGUAGUUUAUACGUAUGUGUAUAAGUAGUUAAUUAGGCCUUUAUUAUGUCUUAUUAGCCAUAUAUUAGUUCUUAAUGAUUUUCUCAUUCAAACAUUAUAUGUCCUGUAUAACUGGCCAUAGCUUAGCUAUAAUAAAGGCAUAGUAAUAGUUAAUAAAGAGCAGUGGCAGAUAGCCUAGCGGUUAAGAGCGUUUGACCAGUAACCAUAAGGACGCCGGUUCGAAUCCCUGACCCGACUAAGUGAAAAAUGAUUAGUGGUUAAUAUAUGUACAUACAAUUAAAGUGUUGUCCUUGAUAUUUACACUGUGAUAUUGGCUUUUAUGUGAUACUUAACAUGACUGAAUAUUUCUGUCCAGACAACAGAAUUUAUAGGCUUAAAAAAACAAUGAUUUUCCCCAAAACAUUCUCUGUGGUAUGUCAUUGCACUGUACAUGUGGUUGUGUGUGUGUAAACGUGUAUGUGCAUUCCAGGUUGCUUGUUUCUUGUGUGUGUAUAAAUAA
rnacentral:lncRNA from 13 species